GAUGAACGCUAGCUACAGGCUUAACACAUGCAAGUCGAGGGACCGGCGCACGGGUGAGUCACACGUAUCCAACCUGCCCUUUACUCGGGGAUAGCCUUUCGACAGAAAGAUUAAUACCCGAUAUAAAGGAUGGGGAUGCGUUCCAUUAGGUUGUUGGUGAGGAAACGGAUCACCCAGCCUUCGAUGGAGAGGGGUACUGUGAGGAAGGUCACCCACAUUGGAACGGGGACACGGUCCAAACUCGUACCGGAUGCGGCAGUUAGGAAUAGUGGGCAAUGGGCGUGAGCAUGAACCGGCCAAGUAGCGAGGAGGAGGAUGGCGUAUAGGGCGUAAACUUUGUGUAUAAAAGAUUAGGUAUUAUAUUAAUAAGGAUCGGCUAACUCCGUGCCAGCAGCCGCGGUAAUAC
rnacentral:rRNA from 1 species